ACUUUUAGAGCUUUUACUAACUUUCUCUAAUACGCAUAUAUUUUUCCUUUUAUAACCUCUGGAGGUGCCUUGUACUUAAAUUCUUUUAGAACAAUCGAGAGGCUUGGAGGACAGGGCGCUUAAGUGCAGUUUUUGCUAUUCAAGGGACGUUUUUAAGGUUUCAAAAUUAUAUGGAGCCUUAAGGCAGAAAAGAAGUUUAAAGUCACUCUUUGAUGCUUUAAAGUUGGAUUCUAGUUGUGAAUUGUUGGCGGUAUAUGCUUUCAAACUAGUAGGUAUUUGUUGAGUCCACGAAAAUCUCAAUUUUUCAAUAACUGCACUUAUGCGCCUUUGUCCUCCAAGCCCCUCAAUCGAAGAUACAACUCCAGCAUCAUGCGUCAUGUAUAACAUUUACUCUCCUUAUUCUUUUUAUAUAUUUUUCAGCCACAUGCAUCUUGUUAUAAUUAUUUACCUGCCUCUUCUUCUCUCUUUUCGUUUCUAUUGUUUAUUUCCCCUUUUCAUAUUUUACUUUAGUGCCUCUGAUGUGAUGGUGCUUGGUACAGUUGCUUCUCAGAAUUAUAUGUGAGCAAGUUCUGGAAAUAAAACUGGCCGAACCCUGUGCCCAAUUAACUUUGUUGAAGUGGGACCACGAAUGCUAAGUUUAAGACAUUGCCUACGAAGACAGGGAUGAAAGAAGAAUGUAGUACUUAUAAUCGUCCCAUACCUAGGAUGUUCAAACAACAGAAUAAAAUUUACAAAUGAAAAAUAAAUACAUCUCAUACGCUUGGACACAAUUAAAGAACGAAACAAUUGUUAAGCGUAAUAAGUAGGUAACAGUAACGCCUUAUUAUUUUUCCCCCUUUAGACAGAAGUUCUUUUGACCAUUUAAGAUGACUAAUUUUUUUUGCCCAAGUAGCAUAGAAGUAAAGGAUGAAGUACGACCUCGUGUUUCUUUCUUUCUAAUUUUUAACGCAUUGAGAGCAAGGUCCCUCAGUGCUAUAGAAAAUUGGUUUUGUGCGUAGAGUUAGUCAAAGAAAAAUCAUAAUUUCAGAUGGUUUCAGUACUUAUGGAACAAAAUUAAAAUUAUGCAAAAAAAAAAAAAUAAAAUAAAAUAAAAUAAAAUAAAAUAAAAAAAAUUUAAAAAAUUCUACUUUUAUCAUUUUUUAAUUUUGUUGAAACAUUUAGAAACUUUCAUUAUUCCUUCCAUGCCACUUGAAUGACUAUAUAAUAGAUGUCUUGCAAAAUUUUUAAAGUUUGUAGCCUUGGUGAAUUUUAUAUGACUGCAUCAGUAAAAGAACUCGAGCCCAGUUUUGAAAGAAAAAACAAAAAACAAACAAACAAACAAAACUGCUUAAUUGAGGGAAAACUGGGAGACACAGUGGCUAAUAUAAGUUAAAAAGAAUUCAUGCAACAGUUAAGCUGGUAAAAGCAACAGUUCGUUGGAUUUUCAUUUCAGAUUUUUAAUCUACACAAGAAUUAUAAUUGAGAAGAGUCAUACUUAAAAGGCUGUUAAGACAGAAUCUAGAAGGAACUUUUCAUACAAUUAUUUACACUUGACUGGAGGAUCCCAUUUUUGCAAUUCCGAGCGGUAUCACUAAGGUAAAAAUAAGAACAAGAAUCAUUCCUAAUAUUUGACAAAGAUAAUCAUUUAAACUCAACACUUUUUGGAUUAAAUAGAUUGCAGUUAUACGUUUGAUACUGUUCCCUUUCACUCAAAAUUCAAACACUCUAUUUUAGCUUAUAUUUCCAAGUAACAAUUUUGAGGCAAUGAAAAAAUCUCUAAAACAAAAUCACUCAUUUCAUAUUUUUCCUCAUUCCAUACUAUAAUAAAUGGUGAGAAAUGUCAAAGCUUGAAACAAGAUUAUUGAAAGUGUGCAAUUAGUUUAUACGGCACAUAAGUUCACUUCCAGGUAAUCAUCUUAGGACAUUAAAACUCAGACAGGAUGAGGUAAAGGUCAUGGAAACUCAAAAAAAUCAAUGUUAUAUCAUUCAUCCAUCAUUCCUCAUUCCUCAUUCUUAACAUCUAACUCUCAUUAGUGAUACCACUCCAUUCCCAAAAGAGGAAUUUUUGUAUUAGAACAAAAAAUUUACAUGGUCCUUCAAAACUGAUGACAUAAAAAAUAAUAACAUUUAAUAAAUAGAAUUUUAAAACAAAAAACUACAGUUUAUCACAGAUCAUCCUUAAAAUUAUAGACAAAAAACAAAACAGGUUCUAAAAUCUUGGAAA